UACGAAGGUCCCAAGCGUUAUCCGGAUUUAUUGGGUUUAAAGGGCGCGUAGGCGGGCUAUUAAGUCAGUGGUGAAAGCCCCAAGCUUAACUUGGGAACUGCCAUUGAUACUGAUGGUCUUGAGUACAUUUGAGGUGGGCGGAAUGUGUCAUGUAGCGGUGAAAUGCUUAGAUAUGACACAGAACACCGAUUGCGAAGGCAGCUUGCCAGAAUGCGCUCGACGGUGAGGGAUGAAAGCUGGGGGAGCAAACCGG
rnacentral:rRNA from 1 species